GAUGAACGCUAGCUACAGGCCUAACACUUGGCAAGUCGAGGGGCAGCGGAAGACGCUUGCUUUCUUCGCCGGCGACCGGCGCACGGGUGCGUAACGCGUAUCGAACCUACCCCUUUACUCGGGGAACAGCCUUGCGAAAGCAAGAUUAAUGCCCGAUGUUCCGCGUUUGCCGCAUGGCAAAUUCGGCAAAGAUUUAUUGGUAAAGGAUGGCGAUGCGUCCCAUUAGUUAGUUGGCGGGGUAACGGCCCACCAAGACGACGAUGGGUAGGGGUUCUGAGAGGAAGGUCCCCCACAUUGGAACUGAGACACGGCCCAGACUCCUACGGGAGGCAGCAGUGGGGAAUAUUGCACAAUGGGGGAAACCCUGAUGCAGCAACGCCGCGUGAGUGAAGAAGUAUUUCGGUAUGUAAAGCUCUAUCAGCAGGAAAGAAAAUGACGGUACCUGACUAAGAAGCCCCGGCUAACUACGUG
rnacentral:rRNA from 1 species